UAUGUACUCCCUCCGUCCGGAAUUACUUGUCAUCAAAAUGGAUGUGUCUAGAACUAAAAUACAUCUAGAUAAAUCCAUUUCAAUGACAAGUAUUUCCGGACAGAGGGAGUACAUC
rnacentral:pre_miRNA from 1 species